rnacentral:rRNA from 1 species
UACGUAGGGGGCGAGCGUUGUCCGAAGUUACUGGGCGUAAAGCGCGCGUAGGCGGGCUCUUAAGUGAGGGGUGAAAGGUUUGGGCUCAACCCAAACACUGCCUUUCAUACUGGGAGCCUUGAGUGCGGGAGAGGCGAGUGGAAUGGUCGGUGUAGCGGUGAAAUGCGUAGAUAUCGAUCGGAACACCCAUGGCGAAGGCAGCUCGCUGGCCUGCAACUGACGCUGAGGCGCGAAAGCGUGGGGAGCAAACAGG